GGGAGUGGACAGGAACGUGCCGCGGGGACUCCCGUCGCAAGCCACGGCCACGGCCACGGUGGAGCAGCCGGGCACGGGGCCUCCGGGAGGAGGGCUGUUUGCAGAAGCCCCAGGAAGGCCCCGGCCCGUCGCACCCAGCCCGGGAUGCCACCAGCCCCGGGUCCUGGCCCGCAAGCUGGGAACAGCCACAGCGGAGCAGCUCCCGCUGUGGGGACCUCUCCAGCCUGCGGCUCAGCAGUGAAACACCAUAACCCGUUUCUGAGAAAACAGCCUGAGCAAAGAGCUUGAGGCUCAAUGUUCCUUUGAAUCAGGAAAAACUGCAAACACCCCGACGGCAGUUACAAUAACGGGGUGGGAGUUUUACGUAAAUGUCCCUAAGAAAACACCAAGGGCCAGGCAGUGACAGUCCCCGAGCCCCAGCGGGAACACCGGAGGGGCUGGGAGGGCUCAGGGCUUGGCGCAGAGGUCUGUGUGCGAGAAAGCAGGUCACAGGGGCCGCGGGGCCACCACGGGCUGGCGGGUACGGGCGGUGCCCCUCCUGUGGCCCCGCGCCCUCGGCCGUCAAUGCCCCACGCUGGUGUCACAACGGGCUUGUCCCUGCCGUCAGUCCUGGGGGUUAUUAAGGGCUUUUCCAGGGGAAGGACCCUCCCAGUGCCCAUCAGGGCAAAGGGCAGCAGGUCCACCACCUCUGGGCAGGCACCCGCCUUGGCAAGUGGCAGGGCCCCACCACCCACCUCACAGCCUGGACCCCCCUUCACCCAGCCCAGCCUCCGGGGGCCCUGAGGGGCCAGGCAGCCCCCCAUCAAAAGAGCAGCCAUGAGCCCGGACAUCCUGGGAUUGGCCACUGAAGGGGUCGCCCUGAGUGUGGGCUGGGGGCUCCAAGGGUGCUGGCGUUCAGUCUCCUGUUUGCCGGGACUGUGGGGGAAGGGGGCAGACACCAGAGAGUCAGGACACACCCGCAGACACGCCCAGAAGCCCUGUCUGACCUGGGCGGCGGGUGGCGGCCUGCUGGGAGGAAGGGCCCCCCGCCAGACAGCAAAGACCGGAGAUGCUGGGGCAGGGUCUCCAGGUUCCAAGGCAGGAACCUCGAGGGCCCCACCGUCGCACAGGCAAAGGCAUGAGGCUGGGGCUCCGGGGGUCUGGGCCACUCCGCACAGUCCCCAGCCCACACACACGUGGGCCUGUGAGCACGGGCCUCCCAGAGCAGGCCCGGCCGCAACCAUGACCGCGAAGACCCAGGAGGGCGUGAAGGGGUGGGGGGUGUGGCCCCAGACCCCUCCUUGUGAGCUAGGGGCCGCAGGCGGGAUGUCCCCACGAUGCACCUCAGUUUUCCCCCCAAAUGCCCUGUAAUGGACUGUGUCUCCCCAAGUUCAUGCCAGCAUCCUACCCCCAGAACCUGUGCAUCUGACCUCACUGGAAACAGGUUCCCUGCUGAGGUCACCCAGUGAAAUGACGUCACUGGGGUGGACCCUGACCCAAUGAUGUGUCCUUAUGAAAUGGGGCCCCGCUCCCCCCAACACCUCACACGCGGCUAACGGCAGGGGACUGCUCUUAGGCUCUGACCGGUCUGCGGACCCCCGCCGGGGCAGACCCUGCUCCGGAAACAACCUGAAAGGAAGCGGCCUUUUCCAGGGCGCCCUCACCUCAGAAUCGUGGGGACCUGGGCCUCGUGGGAACUAGGAACGGGCGACCCUCACUGCGUCAGGCGCCUGCACGGGGCUGGGCCAGGCCCCAUCACGACAGGAGCAAAUCACCAACUCUCGCCUUUAAAAGCAGCCCCAACCCCACGUGGGGUCAGGAUGCUUCCUGCUUCCGCACAUCCAGCCCCCACCACCAGGCAGAAGGGUGGGGACCCGCACAGCCAAGGCACCCAGGCACCCAGAAAGCCUUUCUGAGCAGGGCAGAGGCGGGGGCAGGGGUCUGGGGCUGCUGCCCAGGCGAAAGCUCAGCUCUAAGUCUAAAGUGACACCCCCCAUCCCCGACUCCUGCCUCCUGACACGGCUCUGCUGCCCUUGACCAAGUCCGCGGCUCACAUGGCUGCGUGGCUGUUGUUCUCCUCGUGGCUGCAGUGGUUUUCCAAGAGGGUAAUUCGUGCAGCAAAAUAGUAAAUAAAAAUAAUCACUGUUUAUGCGACGCCCACAGGCUGGCAUGCCCCUGACUCUACCCUACACGCUGACGAUGGCUCUGAGUUUU
rnacentral:lncRNA from 9 species